UAUAAGAAUAAGAAAUUAUUACCUAAAGUUUAUGUAUAAUUAAGAGACAUAAUUAAAAUGACUUAACAUAGCAAUAAUUUUUUUUUUCAUUCAAAAGUGGCCUCAAACAUUACUGGAUAUUGGCAGACACUGCUAUUGACUGUUUUUUUUUUCCUUGUCUGCAGCCUGCCCUUGACUGUGCUUUGGGAGAGUAAGAGCAAAGGUUGUAUCCACACUUGGAGGAUGUUGGCAGGCGAGGACUGGCCGUUUUGCACUGUGUGGUCAAUGACAUUUUAGCAGAGGCCUCAAAGGCAGAACAAAAUAGUAAGUGCAAGGAGCCACACAUCCGUACAGUGCUGAGACCCUGCCCAGGACACGCUUGAUCCUGGCACCCAAGUGACAACCUGCAUUGAAAAGGCGGAACUUGGCUCUCCUGCCCUGCCAGCUGUAAGAGCUUGAAAGCAAAGCUAUGGGGGGAAUGUCUUUCAUUUCCCCCUGGAAGCUGGGAGGACGUUCAGCUUAGCAUUGCCAACUGUGUAAUGUGGGCUUGCCUCUAAAAGAAGCCUUUUUCCUUGGACGUCUUUCAGGCCGCAGUAUUCCCUUUGGCACCCCC